rnacentral:rRNA from 1 species
AGCAGCCGCGGUAAUUCCAGCUCCAAUAGCGUAUAUUAAAGUUGUUGCAGUUAAAAAGCUCGUAGUUGAAUUUCGGGAUCAGUAGGUUGGUCAUGCCUUCGGUAUGUACUGGUCUCACUGAUUCCUCCCUCUUGAAGAACCGUAAUGUCAUUAAUUUGAUGUUGCGGGGAAACAGGACUGUUACUUUGAAAAAAUUAGAGUGUUUAAAGCAGGCUCACGCUUGAAUACAUUAGCAUGGAAUAAUGAAAUAGGACGUUCGAUCCUAUUUUGUUGGUUUCUAGGAUUGACGUAAUGAUUAGUAGGGAUAGUUGGGGGCAUUAGUAUUCAAUUGUCAGAGGUGAAAUUCUUGGAUUUAUUGAAGACUAACUACUGCGAAAGCAUUUGCCAAGGAUGUUUUCAUUAAUCAAGAACGAAAGUUAGGGGAUCGAAGACGAUCAGAUACCGUCGUAGUCUUAACCAUAAACUAUGCCGACUAGGGAUCGGAUGAUGUUAAUUUUAUAAUGACUCA